CAACUUUGCCGAAUGUUGCUAAGUAAGCCUAGAGAUUCUCGAACAAGAGAAGAGAGAGCAAUUGAGCCAAAGAAACUUGUAUUGCACAAAGAGAGAUUACAAUGCUUGUUGGAUACAAAUGCCAAAUGCCAUCCCAUAUUUAUAGGGGAGGCUUUACCUAACUUUUGCCUAACUUUACCUAACUUUGCCUAACUUUGACAAACUUGGUCAAACUCUAGAAUAUUAUACAAUUUCCUAGCUAUUUACAUGUGCUGGAAUUGUAUUAGGUAUUCUAGAAUAUUUACAUGUUCACAUGUGCUAGAGUUGCCUAGAACCUUCCGGAAUUGGGCCAAGCUAGCACUCUUGGCCUUGUGUUGGCUCUCUAGCCCGAAAUUGU
rnacentral:lncRNA from 1 species